rnacentral:rRNA from 1 species
GUAACGGGGCUCAAGCCAUGAGCCGAAGCUUAGGAUGCACAUAGUGCAUGGUAGCAGAGCGUAGUGUGACAUAGUUCCAUGUCUCCUUACCUACUUCGGUAGGAUUGGAGACACGGAGCUUUCGAUGAAGCGGGCGCGUGAGCGAUCCCGUGGAGAGAUCACUAGCGAGAAUGAUGACAUGAGUAGCGACAAACAGGGUGAGAGACCCUGUCGCCGAAAGUCCAAGGGUUCCUGCUUAAAGCUAAUCUGAGCAGGGUAAGCCGACCCCUAAGGCGAGGCCGAAAGGCGUAGUCGAUGGGAACCAGGUUAAUAUUCCUGGGCCAGGAGGAUGUGACGGAUCUCGAAGGUUGUUCCCUCUUAUCGGAUUGAGGGGGCUGCUUAGAGGUUCCUGGAAAUAGCCCUCCAUGAGAUCGUACCCUAAACCGACACAGGUGGACUGGUAGAGUAUACCAAGGCG